UAAGGAUUUUUGCAUUAAAAUUACUACGUAAGCAUAUGGCAAGCUCCCUGUAAGUACUGCCUGAAUGGAUGAGAGAAUAAAUAGAUGUACAAACUACUGCAGUAAAUAUGUUCCUUUAAAGAGAUCCUGGACUAACACAAUACUACUCCUGGAAGUUUUAUGGAAAAUAU